rnacentral:tRNA from 1 species
GGGCAUGUAGCUCAGUGGAUAGAGCACCAGAUUCCGGUUCUGGGUGUCGGGGGUUCAACUCCCUCCAUGCUCG